rnacentral:rRNA from 1 species
AUUGAACGCUGGCGGAAUGCUUUACACAUGCAAGUCGAACGGCAGCACGGACUUCGGUCUGGUGGCGAGUGGCGAACGGGUGAGUAACACAUCGAAACGUACCCAGUCGUGGGGGAUAACGUAGCGAAAGCUACGCUAAUACCGCAUACGAUCUAUGGAUGAAAGCGGGGGACCUGUAAGGGCCUCGCGCGCUUGGAGCGGUCGAUGGCAGAUUAGGUAGUUGGUGGGGUAAAGGCUCACCAAGCCGACGAUCUGUAGCUGGUCUGAGAGGACGACCAGCCACACUGGAACUGAGACACGGUCCAGACUCCUACGGGAGGCAGCAGUGGGGAAUUUUGGACAAUGGACGCAAGUCUGAUCCAGCCAUUCCGCGUGCAGGACGAAGGCCUUCGGGUUGUAAACUGCUUUUGUACAGAACGAAAAGGUUGCCAUUAAUACUGGUGGCUCAUGACGGUACUGUAAGAAUAAGCACCGGCUAACUACGUGCCAGCAGCCGCCGUAAGAC